rnacentral:rRNA from 2 species
UCGAUGGGAGCUUGCUCCCUGAGAUUAGCGGCGGACGGGUGAGUAACACGUGGGCAACCUGCCUAUAAGACUGGGAUAACUUCGGGAAACCGGAGCUAAUACCGGAUACGUUCUUUUCUCGCAUGAGAGAAGAUGGAAAGACGGUUUACGCUGUCACUUAUAGAUGGGCCCGCGGCGCAUUAGCUAGUUGGUGAGGUAAUGGCUCACCAAGGCGACGAUGCGUAGCCGACCUGAGAGGGUGAUCGGCCACACUGGGACUGAGACACGGCCCAGACUCCUACGGGAGGCAGCAGUAGGGAAUCUUCCGCAAUGGACGAAAGUCUGACGGAGCAACGCCGCGUGAACGAAGAAGGCCUUCGGGUCGUAAAGUUCUGUUGUUAGGGAAGAACAAGUACCAGAGUAACUGCUGGUACCUUGACGGUACCUAACCAGAAAGCCACGGCUAACUACGUGCCAGCAGCCGCGGUAAUACGUAGGUGGCAAGCGUUGUCCGGAAUUAUUGGGCGUAAAGCGCGCGCAGGUGGUUCCUUAAGUCUGAUGUGAAAGCCCACGGCUCAACCGUGGAGGGUCAUUGGAAACUGGGGAACUUGAGUGCAGAAGAGGAAAGUGGAAUUCCAAGUGUAGCGGUGAAAUGCGUAGAGAUUUGGAGGAACACCAGUGGCGAAGGCGACUUUCUGGUCUGUAACUGACACUGAGGCGCGAAAGCGUGGGGAGCAAACAGGAUUAGAUA